UUGUUUAAAUUUACUUUAAGACUCCGACGCAAAGAUGCAGUGUUUGAUGACCUCCGGGGGCGCCGUCGCCGAAACGGCGGGGUCGCCCCCGAAGCAACAGAGUUGGUUCACAAAGGGUUGGAGGUCGGGCUUGCGCCCUCACUCAGUAAUGAUCCCUCCGCAGGUUCACCUACGGAGA
rnacentral:misc_RNA from 1 species